GGUUAAGCUAGAAAGGGCGCACGGUGGAUGCC
rnacentral:rRNA from 1 species